CGUGCAGGCGGUGUCGUAAGUGGUGCGUGAAAGCGCUCUGGCUCAACCGGGCGAGGACGUGCCAAACUGCGGGACUUGAGAUAGGUAGAGGCGUGUGGAAUUCCGGGUGUAGUGGUGAAAUGCGUAGAGAUCCGGAGGAACACCAGUGGCGAAGGCGACACGCUGGACCUUAUCUGACGCUAAGACGCGAAAGCAUGGGGAGCAAACAGGAUUAGAUACCCUGGUAGUCC
rnacentral:rRNA from 1 species